ensembl:rRNA 5S_rRNA 5S ribosomal RNA
GCUUACGGCCAUACCACCCUGAACACGCCCGAUCUCAUCUGAUCUCAGAAGCCAAGCAGGGUAGGGCCUUCUUAGUACUUGGAUGGGAGACCGCCUGGGAAUACCAGGUGCUGUAAGCU